CGUCAAUCAAUCAUAACGGACACAGAUUUCAAAGGCAGCAGGAUGAAAGAUAACCAUGUAUCAGGUCUGUGUUCAUCAAGACAUGAAGACUCUGGAGUGGGACAAGAGAAGGAUGGUGGGGUGUUAUUCCAAUAGACACAUUAAGUGAAAGCUGAUAAAUACAGAGGGCUUGACAGUGGUUUCAUUGAUUAAGUAAAGAGGUGGGACAAUGAUGGUGACAGGACAGGAGGAGGUGACAUUCAGGUUAGUGACAGUACAUCAGGGCACCAUUUAAUUUAAUGUUAAUUUGUUUGCUUCCAAAAUCAAUACUUGACAAAUCUUUACAAUUAUAUUUGCAAAGCUGAAUUUCUCAUAGGUGGAUAAAGUAUG